rnacentral:rRNA from 1 species
GGGACACGUGGUAUCCUGUCUGAAUAUGGGGGGACCAUCCUCCAAGGCUAAAUACUCCUGACUGACCGAUAGUGAACCAGUACCGUGAGGGAAAGGCGAAAAGAACCCCGGCGAGGGGAGUGAAAAAGAACCUGAAACCGUGUACGUACAAGCAGUGGGAGCACGCUUAGGCGUGUGACUGCGUACCUUUUGUAUAAUGGGUCAGCGACUUAUAUUCUGUAGCAAGGUUAACCGAAUAGGGGAGCCGAAGGGAAACCGAGUCUUAACUGGGCGUUAAGUUGCAGGGUAUAGACCCGAAACCCGGUGAUCUAGCCAUGGGCAGGUUGAAGGUUGGGUAACACUAACUGGAGGACCGAACCGACUAAUGUUGAAAAAUUAGCGGAUGACUUGUGGCUGGGGGUGAAAGGCCAAUCAAACCGGGAGAUAGCUGGUUCUCCCCGAAAGCUAUUUAGGUAGCGCCUCGUGAAUUCAUCUCCGGGGGUAGAGCACUGUUUCGGCAAGGGGGUCAUCCCGACUUACCAACCCGAUGCAAACUGCGAAUACCGGAGAAUGUUAUCACGGGAGACACACGGCGGGUGCUAACGUCCGUCGUGAAGAGGGAAACAACCCAGACCGCCAGCUAAGGUCCCAAAGUCAUGGUUAAGUGGGAAACGAUGUGGGAAGGCCCAGACAGCCAGGAUGUUGGCUUAGAAGCAGCCAUCAUUUAAAGAAAGCGUAAUAGCUCACUGGUCGAGUCGGCCUGCGCGGAAGAUGUAACGGGGCUAAACCAUGCACCGAAGCUGCGGCAGCGACACUAUGUGUUGUUGGGUAGGGGAGCGUUCUGUAAGCCUGUGAAGGUGUGCUGUGAGGCAUGCUGGAGGUAUCAGAAGUGCGAAUGCUGACAUAAGUAACGAUAAAGCGGGUGAAAAGCCCGCUCGCCGGAAGACCAAGGGUUCCUGUCCAACGUUAAUCGGGGCAGGGUGAGUCGACCCCUAAGGCGAGGCCGAAAGGCGUAGUCGAUGGGAAACAGGUUAAUAUUCCUGUACUUGGUGUUACUGCGAAGGGGGGACGGAGAAGGCUAUGUUGGCCGGGCGACGGUUGUCCCGGUUUAAGCGUGUAGGCUGGUUUUCCAGGCAAAUCCGGAAAAUCAAGGCUGAGGCGUGAUGACGAGGCACUACGGUGCUGAAGCAACAAAUGCCCUGCUUCCAGGAAAAGCCUCUAAGCAUCAGGUAACAUCAAAUCGUACCCCAAACCGACACAGGUGGUCAGGUAGAGAAUACCAAGGCGCUUGAGAGAACUCGGGUGAAGGAACUAGGCAAAAUGGUGCCGUAACUUCGGGAGAAGGCACGCUGAUAUGUAGGUGAAGUCC